rnacentral:rRNA from 1 species
GGUGAGUACGCGUGGACGUGCCUUUCACUACGGAAUAGCUCUUGGAAACGAAAGGUAAUACCGUAUACGCCCUCCGGGGGAAAGAUUUAUCGGUGAAAGAUCGGUCCGCGUUAGAUUAGCUAGUUGGUGAGGUAAAAGCUCACCAAGGCGACGAUCUAUAGCUGGUCUGAGAGGAUGAUCAGCCACACUGGGACUGAGACACGGCCCAGACUCCUACGGGAGGCAGCAGUGGGGAAUAUUGCACAAUGAGCGCAAGCCUGAUGCAGCCAUGCCGCGUGAAUGAUGAAGGCCUUAGGGUUGUAAAAUUCUUUCGCUAGGGAUGAUAAUGACAGUACCUAGUAAAGAAGCCCCGGCUAACUUCGUGCCAGCAGCCGCGGUAAUACGAAGGGGGCUAGCGUUGUUCGGAAUUACUGGGCGUAAAGCGCACGUAGGCGGACUUUUAAGUCAGAUGUGAAAUCCCGAGGCUCAACCUCGGAACUGCAUUUGAAACUGGGAGUCUAGAGAUCAGGAGAGGUUAGCGGAAUACCGAGUGUAGAGGUGAAAUUCGUAGAUAUUCGGUGGAACACCAGUGGCGAAGGCGGCUAACUGGACUGAUACUGACGCUGAGGUGCGAAAGUGUGGGGAGCAAACAGGAUUAGAUACCCUGGUAGUCCACACCGUAAACGAUGAGUGCUAGUUGUCUGCAGGCAUGCCUGUAGGUGACGCAGCUAACGCAUUAAGCACUCCGCCUGGGGAGUACGGCCGCAAGGUUAAAACUCAAAGAAAUUGACGGGGGCCCGCACAAGCGGUGGAGCAUG